UACGGGGGGGGGCAAGCGUUGUUCGGAAUUACUGGGCGUAAAGGGCGCGUAGGCGGUUCGCUAAGUCGGAUGUGAAAACCCAGGGCUCAACCCUGGGCCUGCAUUCGAUACGGGCAGACUAGAGUUCGGUAGGGGGAGACUGGAAUUCCUGGUGUAGCGGUGAAAUGCGCAGAUAUCAGGAGGAACACCGGUGGCGAAGGCGGGCCUCUGGGCCAAAGUGACGUCUGAGGACGAGAACGUGGGGGAGCAAACAGG
rnacentral:rRNA from 1 species